AUUGAACGCUGGCGGCAUGCCUUACACAUGCAAGUCGAACGGCAGCGGACCUUCGGGUGCCGGCGAGUGGCGAACGGGUGAGUAAUAUAUCGGAACGUACCUUUCAGUGGGGGAUAACGUAGCGAAAGUUACGCUAAUACCGCAUAUUCUGUGAGCAGGAAAGCAGGGGAUCGCAAGACCUUGCGCUGAUUGAGCGGCCGAUAUCAGAUUAGCUAGUUGGUGAGGUAAAGGCUCACCAAGGCGACGAUCUGUAGCGGGUCUGAGAGGAUGAUCCGCCACACUGGAACUGAGACACGGUCCAGACUCCUACGGGAGGCAGCAGUGGGAAUUUUGGACAAUGGGCGCAAGCCUGAUCCAGCCAUGCCGCGUGAGUGAAGAAGGCCUGGUGUAAG
rnacentral:rRNA from 1 species